UAUAGUAGCAACCGUUUGCUUCGUAUAACCCCAAUGAUAUGGUUUGGGGGUCUCUACCAGCUCCCGCAAAGUGCUGAUUACGAAGGGUUUAGAUCACAAUU
rnacentral:ncRNA from 6 species